GUGCUCACUUGGGCAGCACAUAUACUAAAAUUGGAAUAAUACAGAAAAGAUUGGCAUGGCCCCUGUGCGAGGAUGACAUGCAAAUUUGUGAAGUGUUCCAUGUUUUU
rnacentral:snRNA from 1 species